AUCCUGACGUUGAGCGGGAAGAGUACCAUGUGGAGUCCUUUGCAGCGAACCGGGUUUGGUGCGAGCCGGGAAAGGGGAAGCGUGGGAAAAUCACCCGGGAGUCGUGUGCCGAACCCCUCUGGGCAGUAAGCAACACCGCGUUGCCCCCGUUACCGGGCAGUUGAGUGGUCAUGGCUUCUUUGGCAUGGCAAUCAGGGUGGUACCACGGAAGAUAAUGAGAAGUCUCUCGUCCCUAUU
rnacentral:ncRNA from 1 species